rnacentral:rRNA from 1 species
GGGAGUGGCAAGCGUUAUCCGGAAUUAUUGGGCGUAAAGCGUCCGCAGGCGGCCCUUCAAGUCUGCUGUUAAAAAGUGGAGCUUAACUCCAUCAUGGCAGUGGAAACUGUUGGGCUUGAGUGUGGUAGGGGCAGAGGGAAUUCCCGGUGUAGCGGUGAAAUGCGUAGAUAUCGGGAAGAACACCAGUGGCGAAGGCGCUCUGCUGGGCCAUCACUGACGCUCAUGGACGAAAGCCAGGGGAGCGAAAGGGAUUAGAUACCCCUGUAGUCCUGGCCGUAAACGAUGAACACUAAGUUGUCGGGGGAAUCGACCCCUCGGUGUCGUAACCAACGCGUUAAUUUUCCCCCUGGGGAAUUACGCACGCAAUUUUGAAAUCCAAAGAUUUGAACNGGGGCCCCNCACAAGCGGUGGAAUUAUNUUNGUUUUUAAUUCCNAAUGCCAACGCCAAAAAACCUUACCAAGGGUUUUGACAUCCCUGCGAAUCUCCUUUGGAAACNAAAAAAAUUNCCUUCCNGGAACCCCAAUUA